AAACGAAGUUUCGUACGAAAUUUCGCGAACUUCUUACCACGGUUCUAGUUCGUUCCGAAAUUUCGUACGAACGAAGAUUGUUUGACGUUUAUUGUCUAUAAACCUACUCUAAUUCGAAAUGCUACGAACGAAUAUUUGAGUUUGACAGACGAAACUUCGGAAUUUUAACCUCAAAUUCAACGAAACCAAAAUAGUUAUCGUUUGAUUUUCGUUUUACUUUUCGUUUUGUGAAUUUCGUGUGAAAAUUAUUGGCAAGGGCUACAAUAAUGCUUUAAAUCAAAGCAGCUUUACGUGAAGAUCGUGUAGAGUGAUGAAGGAACCGGCUGUGCUUGCGCAAUCAAUGAAAUAUUAGCGAAAUUCCCGACGUAGAGUUUGUAGGAAAUCACAGAUUCAGUCGGCAAUGUUUUGAAGAGUUGUGCCAGGAAUUCGUGCCUUUAUUAUCUCCAAACAACGCAUAUUGCAAUUGUUAGACCUUCUGGAGCAUGAGGAACAAUAUUUUGAUCGAAAACAUUUUCACACCCAAGUUAUAUGUGACAGUGAUUGCUAUAUAACAAAUGUGGAUAUAUUGCUAUAUAACAUUUGGUGGAGCAACACAUGAUGCUUAUAUUUGGAGAGUGUGAUAUUAGAAGCCACUUGGAGGGUCUCCAGAAUGAAACAGUUUAUCUGUUAGGUGACUCUGGGUAUGCUCUAAGGGAGCGUAUGGUGACACCUAUAGAUAAAGCUGUUGAAGACUCUCUUUAAGGGAGAUACAACUUUGCAGAGUCUUGUUAGUGAACAUUUUAGAAAGCAAUAGGUAGGGCAAAGUUCUACUCAAGCACAUCAUAACAUGCUCCAGAAGAACUGUGUUUAUUGAUUUUAAGAAUGUGACAAUGUUAUUUAUUUCCUUUAGAGUUUAAUAAAAUAAUAAAAUAUA
rnacentral:lncRNA from 1 species